UCUGGUUGAUCCUGCCAGUAGUCAUAUGCUUGUCUCAAAGAUUAAGCCAUGCAUGUCUAAGUAUAAAUAGUAUACAGUGAAACUGCGAAUGGCUCAUUAAAACAGUUAUAGUUUAUUUGAUAAUUGACAAUUACAUGGAUAACCGUGGUAAUUCUAGAGCUAAUACAUGCUUAAACGCCCGACUUUAUGGAAGGGUGGUAUUUAUUAGACUGAAGCCAAUAUUCCUUGUGUCUAUUGCGGUGAUUCAUAAUAACUGAUCGAAUCUCUUUUUGAGAUAAAUCAUUCAAGUUUCUGCCCUAUCAGCUUUCGAUGGUAGUGUAUUGGACUACCAUGGCAGUAACGGGUAACGAGGAAUUAGGGUUCGAUUUCGGAGAGGGAGCAUGAGAAACGGCUACCACAUCUAAGGAAGGCAGCAGGCGCGUAAAUUACCCAAUCCUGACUCAGGGAGGUAGUGACAAGAAAUAGCAAACCGGGAACCUCAUGGUUUCACGGUAUUGCAAUGAGAACAAUUUAAAACCCUUAGCGAGAAUCAAGUGGAGGACAAGUCUGGUGCCAGCACCCGCGGUAAUUCCAGCUCCACUAGCGUAUAUUAAAGUUGUUGCAGUUAAAAAGCUCGUAGUUGAACCUCUGUCUGGGGCUAGUUUUGGCUUUGGUCAGGCUAGUUCUAGGCAUCCGCCUACAAGACUUAGAGGGCAUUCAGUUGUUCACUAGGAGGAGUAGGCAUUUUACUUUGAAAAAAUUAGAGUGUUUAAGGCAGGCAAUCGCCCGCAUAUAUUAGCAUGGAAUAAUAGAAUAGGACACUUUUCCAUUUCGUUGGUUAUUGGAAUCGUGUAAUGAUUAAUAGGGACAGUUGUGGGCAUUUGUAUUUAAUUGUCAGAGGUGAAAUUCUUGGAUUUAUUAAAGACAAACUAACGCGAAAGCAUUUGCCAAGGAUGUUUUCAUUAAUCAAGAACGAAAGUUAGGGGAUCAAAGACGAUCAGAUACCGUCCUAGUCUUAACUAUAAACUAUUCCGACUCAAUGUUUGACUGGCUUAUAUAACCAGUUGAGCGUUGUAUGAGAAAUCAAAGUCUUUAGGUUCUGGGGGGAGUAUGGUUGCAAAGCUGAAACUUAAAGGAAUUGACGGAAGAGCACAACCAGGAGUGGAUUCUGCGGCUUAAUUUGACUCAACACGGGGAAACUUACCAGGUUAAAACAAUAGUGGGAUUGACAGUUUGAGAGCGCUUUCUUGAUUGGUUGGGUGGUGGUGCAUGGCCGUUCUUAGUUGGUGGAGUGAUUUGUCUGCUUAAUUGCGUUAACGAACGAGACCUUAACCUGCUUACUAGACUGGCGAUCAUCAAUCGUUAGCUCUUCUUAGAGGGACUUUGGUUGUUUUAACUCCAAGGAAG
rnacentral:rRNA from 1 species